GAGAGAGAGAGAGAGAGAGAGAGAGAGAGAGAGAGAGAGAGAGAGAGAGAGAGAGAGUAUGGGGUGCUUCCACGCGACGCGUCACGGCCUCGAGAAAAUGCACAACAUUUUCGGGUGUCAUAACUCUUUUAUUAUUAGUAGUAGAGAAGUUUUAUUACUCCACCAUAUAUACUACAUGAAUAUACAAAUAUUGGAAAGAAGAAAGACACCAUUUCCACCUCUUUUAAAUGCCUAAAUUUUCCCCGUGCACAGCAUCCAGAGAUAUAUAUCGCCACCCGUACUCUAAGGGAUAACAAAAGAUACGAGACAGCUAGAAAAAGAAAAGAGGAAGCUUGGAAGGGAUGGAGGAGAUGAAGAAGAAUCAACUCGUGGAACAAUUUCAAACGAGCAAGGAAUGAAUAUACAAAGAUUAGAAGAGAAGAAAAAAGGAAAUAUGAAAAAGAUAUAAUCGACCAACCCAAACUAUUCAAUAGACAUGUGAACGGCAAAUUAAAGAACAGAGAAAUAAUCGAUAAACUGAAAAUGGAUGAAACCACAUCCGAGGACCCAGCAGAGAUGGCAGAGGUGAUGAGCAACAGCUUCCAUAGAGUUUUCACAAGAGAAGAAAAAUUUGUGCAACCCCCGGGCCAGGAAAGAGGAAGGGUUAUGCAGAAGAUACAGUUAACGGUGCAGGAGGUCAAGGAAAGCUUGAACAAGCUGAAUGUAAGAAAGGCGACGGGGCUGGAUGGAGUAUCAGGGUGGAUCUUGAAAGAAUGUAGUGAGCAACUUGCAGAGAAACUGCACUCCAUAAUGAGCGCCUCCCUGAGUGAAGGAAGGGUACCACAAGAUUGGAAGAGAGCAAACAUAGUACCGAUUUUUAAGGGAGGAAAGAAAGAGGACCCAUUAAAUUAAUAACAGUAUCACUCACUAGUGUGGUUGAGAAGAUGUGUGAGAGACUGAUUAAAAACAGGUGGUCAGAUUUCUUAGAAAGUGAGAAAAUUAUCUCAGAUUGCCAGUUUGGAUUCAGGAGAAGGAGAUCUUGUGUCCCCAACUUGUUGUGUUAUUACUCAAGGGUGAUAGAUUUAAUACAGGAGAGAGAAGGCUGGGCAGAUGGAGUGUACCUGGAUUUGAAAAAGGCAUUCGACAAAGUACCGCACAGAAGACUAAUUUGGAAAAUUAAAAAUAGGGGUGGAGUGGGUGAUGGACUGAUUAAGUGGCUGGAGGACUUCCUAAUUAACAGGGAAAUGAGGACAAUAAUUAGGGACAGGGUUUCCAACUGGUGCCCAGUGAUGAGUGGAGUCCCACAAGGUUCGGUGUUGGCGCCAAUAAUGUUUGCUGUUUAUAUAAAUGAUAUGGUGGACGGAGUGACCAGCUAUGUGAGUUUGUUUGCAGAUGAUGCAAAACUAUUGAGACGAGUGAAUAAUGUGAAGGACUGUGAGGCAUUGCAGAGGGACCUGGAUAGAAUAUGGGAGUGGAGUGGUACAUGGCAGAUGGAGUUCAACCUUGGGAAAUGCAAAAAAAUUAAGUUUGGUAGGAGUGGUAGGAUGUGAAUAUGAUUAUAAGAUGGGAAGUGAGAUAAUAUGCAGAGGAGUGGAAGAAAAAGAUUUAGGAGUGACUGUCUCAGAGAACAUGUCACCGGACAAACACAUCAACAGGAUAACAGGACAAACUAUGAAUUUGCUGAGGAACACAAGGACGGCAUUUGUGUGCUUGGAUGAGAAGAUGAUGAGGAAAAUAAUAGUCACAAUGAUAAGGCCAAGGUUGGAGUAUGCAGCAGUGGUCUGGUCUCCUCACAAAAAAAAAGAACAUAAGGAAGCUGGAAAGAGUACCGGAACUUCGAGAUUGGACUUAUGAGGAGAGACUCAAUAGCAUGGGGCUUACGACCCUGGAGAGAAGAAGAGAAAGAGGAGAUCUGAUAGCGGUGUACAGGGUGGCGAGCGGAGUGGAACAUUUGGACAGAGAGGACCUGUGUGUGUGGAACGAGAGAGAAACGAGAGGACAUGGAAAGAAGUUGAGGGCGACCACGUGCAGGAGAGAUGUGAAAAAGUUUAGCUUCCCAAACAGAAGCAUUGAGCUGUGGAAUGCACUGGAAGAGGAGGUGGUUUGUGCAAGAAACAUUCAUGAUUUUAGGAAAAGUUGGAUAAGAGUGGAUAUGGAGACGGGACAGUGCGAGCAAAGCUCUCUUCCUGUAUGUCACAACUAGGUAAAUACAACUAGGUAAAUACACACAGCACCAAGAAUGAGGUUUGCUGAGGGACCACAACACACCUCUCCUCUCAAGCCCUCAUAAAAUUAUCAGCCCUUCCCCUCACUAUCCCUCAUCUGCUUCACGGCCUCAGAGAAACAUGAUUUACCAUGCUAUCAACUGUAUCCCAACUCAUUUUCUCUCAGUGCUGCGAGGAACAAGGUCACACACCACCAAGAAUGAGGUCCACUUCUCUCAAACCCUCAUAAAACUAUCACAUCAAGCACUCACCUUCCUCACAGCCUUACAGAAACAUGACUGACCAUUCUAAAUGUAUCACAACUAUUCUGUCAACACUAUCCCAAAUCAUUCUCUCUCAGUGCUGUGAGGAACGAGGUAAUUCGAUCAUUUUUUUGUAACACGACUGUGAAAAAACGCAUUCAAAACCAAUUAACUCACUUUCUGGACUUUGAAAAUAGUUGAUAUGAGAGAUGGAAGUGUUUGAAAAUACUGACCAAAGACUUAACUGGAAGGAAAGGGAAGAUGAGGAAAGGUAAGGAGGGGAGGAGAAAAACAGGAAGGCAAGGAAAAGUGUGAAGGAGAGGAGGGAAAGACACCAAAUGGAAGGAAAGGGAAGGGAAGGGGAGGUAAGGAGAGGACACCAAAUGGAGGGAAAGAUAAUGUAAAGAAAGGUAAGAAGGGGAGGAGAAAAACAGGAAGGAAAGAAGGAGAGGGAAAGGAUAAACAUGGAAGGAAAGAGAAGGGAAGGAAGGUGUGAAGGAGAGGGAAAGGAUAAACAUGGAAGGAAAGAGAAGGGAAGGAAGGUGUGAAGGAGAGGGAAAGGAUAAACAU